rnacentral:rRNA from 1 species
GACCGUGCUAAGGUAGCGUGAUAAUUCGCCCUUUAAUUGUGGGCUUGUAUGAAAGGACAAACGAGAGUUCGACUGUCUCCCUGGUAGAACAGGAAAUUGUUAUCCAGGUGAAGAAACCUGGAUUUAAAUAAAGGACAAAAAGACCCCAUAGAGCUUUGUUAGACACCGAUUAACUAUAAAGUAUUUGUACAUUUAUAGCUAACAGGGAACUAACUUAACUGGGGCGGUUAAGGAAAACACAAAGCUUCCGUCUAUAGUUCUAACUUGCACAGCUAGGCAAAACAAGCCAAACCGAAAAAUGACCCUUACAUAAAGAUCAAAGGAUUAGCUACCUUGGGGAUAACAGAUUCAUCCCCCUUGAGAGUCCGCAUUGACAGGGGGGCUU